GCGGGUAUAGCUCAGUGGCAGAGUGCAUGAUUAGCAUGGAGGAGGUCCUGGGUUCAAUCCCCAGUAACUGCA
rnacentral:tRNA from 1 species